rnacentral:rRNA from 1 species
GAUGAACGCUGGCGGCGUGCCUAAUACAUGCAAGUCGAGCGAAUGGAUUAAGAGCUUGCUCUUAUGAAGUUAGCGGCGGACGGGUGAGUAACACGUGGGUAACCUGCCCAUAAGACUGGGAUAACUCCGGGAAACCGGGGCUAAUACCGGAUAACAUUUUGAACCGCGUGGUUCGAAAUUGAAAGGCGGCUUCGGCUGUCACUUAUGGAUGGACCCGCGUCGCAUUAGCUAGUUGGUGAGGUAACGGCUCACCAAGGCAACGAUGCGUAGCCGACCUGAGAGGGUGAGCGGCCACGCUGGGACUGAGAGACGGCCCAGACUCCUACGGGAGGCAGCAGUAGGGAAUCUUCCGCAAUGGACGAAAGUCUGACGGAGCAACGCCGCGUGAGUGAUGAAGGCUUUCGGGUCGUAAAACUCUGUUGUUAGGGAAGAACAAGUGCUAGUUGAAUAAGCUGGCACCUUGACGGUACCUAACCAGAAAGCCACGGCUAACUACGUGCCAGCAGCCGCGGUAA